rnacentral:rRNA from 1 species
AAUAGAUACCCUGGUAGUCCACCCCGUAAACGUUGGGAACUAGUUGUGGGGUCCUUUCCACGGAUUCCGUGACGCAGCUAACGCAUUAAGUUCCCCGCCUGGGGAGUACGGCCGCAAGGCUAAAACUCAAAGGAAUUGACGGGGACCCGCACAAGCGGCGGAGCAUGCGGAUUAAUUCGAUGCAACGCGAAGAACCUUACCAAGGCUUGACAUACACCAGAACACCCUAGAAAUAGGGGACUCUUUGGACACUGGUGAACAGGUGGUGCAUGGUUGUCGUCAGCUCGUGUCGUGAGAUGUUGGGUUAAGUCCCGCAACGAGCGCAACCCUCGUUCUAUGUUGCCAGCACGUAAUGGUGGGAACUCAUGGGAUACUGCCGGGGUCAACUCGGAGGAAGGUGGGGAUGACGUCAAAUCAUCGAUGCCCCUUAUGUCUUGGGCUUCACGCAUGCUACAAUGGCCGGUACAAAGGGCUGCAAUACCGUGAGGUGGAGCGAAUCCCGAAAAGCCGGUCCAGUUCGGAUUGAGGUCUGCAACUCGACCUCA